GAUGAACGCUGGCGGCGUGCUUAACACAUGCAAGUCGAACGGAAAGGCUCCUGCUUGCAGGGGUACUCGAGUGGCGAACGGGUGAGUAACACGUGGGUGAUCUGCCCUGCACUUCGGGAUAAGCCUGGGAAACUGGGUCUAAUACCGGAUAGGACGAUGGUUUGGAUGCCAUUGUGGAAAGUUUUUCGGUGUGGGAUGAGCUCGCGGCCUAUCAGCUUGUUGGUGGGGUAAUGGCCUACCAAGGCGUCGACGGGUAGCCGGCCUGAGAGGGUGUACGGCCACAUUGGGACUGGGGUACGGCCCAGACUCCUACGGGAGGCAGCAGUGGGGAAUAUUGCACAAUGGGCGCAAGCCUGAUGCAGCGACGCCGCGUGGGGGAUGACGGCCUUCGGGUUGUAAACUCCUUUCGCUAGGGACGAAGCGCAAGUGACGGUACCUGGAGAAGAAGCACCGGCUAACUACGUG
rnacentral:rRNA from 1 species